UUCAGUAUGGCAGAAUAGUGCAAUGAACUUAAGACUCAUAUAUAAAUAUCUUUAUUUUACUGAAA